UGGGGAAUAUUGGACAAUGGGCGCAAGCCUGAUCCAGCCAUGCCGCGUGAGUGAUGAAGGCCUUAGGGUUGUAAAGCUCUUUCGCCGACGAAGAUAGUGACGGUAGUCGGAGAAGAAGCCCCGGCUAACUUCGUGCCAGCAGCCGCGGUAAUACGAAGGGGGCUAGCGUUGUUCGGAAUCACUGGGCGUAAAGCGCACGUAGGCGGAUUGUUAAGUCAGGGGUGAAAGCCUGGAGCUCAACUCCAGAACUGCCCUUGAUACUGGCAAUCUCGAGUCCGGAAGAGGUAAGUGGAACUGCGAGUGUAGAGGUGAAAUUCGUAGAUAUUCGCAAGAACACCAGUGGCGAAGGCGGCUUACUGGUCCGGUACUGACGCUGAGGUGCGAAAGCGUGGGGAGCAAAACAGGAUUAGAUACCCUGGUAGUCCACGCCGUAAACGAUGGAGGCUAGCCGUUGGCGAGCAUGCUCGUCAGUGGCGCAGCUAACGCAUUAAGCCUCCCGCCUGGGGAGUACGGUCGCAAGAUUAAAACUCAAAUGAAUUGAC
rnacentral:rRNA from 1 species